UACAGAGGUCUCAAGCGUUGUUCGGAUUCAUUGGGCGUAAAGGGUGCGUAGGCGGCGCGGUAAGUCGGGUGUGAAAUCUCGGGGCUUAACUCCGAAACUGCAUUCGAUACUGCCGUGCUUGAGGACUGGAGAGGAGACUGGAAUUUACGGUGUAGCGGUGAAAUACGUAGAUAUCGUAAGGAAGACCAGUGGCGAAGGCGGGUCUCUGGACAGUUCCUGACGCUGAGGCACGAAGGUCAGGGGGAGCAAACGGGG
rnacentral:rRNA from 1 species